rnacentral:rRNA from 1 species
UUACCCGCUGAACUUAAGCAUAUCAA